UUCCGGUUGAUCCUGCCGGAGGUCAUUGCUAUCGGGGUUCGAUUUAGCCAUGCUAGUCGUGCGAGUUCAGACUCGCGGCGUAUAGCUCAGUAACACGUGGCCAAACUACCCACCAGACAGGAAUAACCUCGGGAAACUGAGGCUAAUGCCUGAUACGCGUUGUCAGUUUGAAGACGACGACGAUCAAACGUUCCGACGCUGGUGGAUGUGGCUGCGGCCGAUUAGGUAGACGGUGGGGUAACGGCCCACCGUGCCGAUAAUCGGUACGGGUUGUGAGAGCAAGAGCCCGGAGACGGAAUCUGAAACAAGAUUCCGGGCCCUACGGGGCGCAGCAGGCGCGAAACCUUUACACUGCACGCCAGUGCGAUAAGGGAACCCCGAGUGAAAGGGCAUAUCGCCCUUUCUUUUCUGAACCGUAGGGAGGUUCAGGAACAAGAGCUGGGCAAGACCGGUGCCAGCCGCCGCGGUAAUACCGGCAGCUCAAGUGAUGACCGAUUUUAUUGGGCCUAAAGCGUCCGUAGCUGGCCAUGCAAGUCCGUCGGGAAAUCCACCCGCUUAACGGGUGGGCGUCCGGCGGAAACUGCACGGCUUGGGACAGGAAGGCUCGAGGGGUACGUUCGGGGUAGGAGUGAAAUCCUGUAAUCCUGAACGGACCACCGAUGGCGAAAGCACCUCGAGAGGACUGAUCCGACAGUGAGGGGCGAAAGCCGGGGUCUCGAACCGGAUUAGAUACCCGGGUAGUCCCAGCUGUAAACGAUGUUCGCUAGGUGUGUCACUCACUACGAGUGAGUGAUGUGCCGCAGGGAAGCCGCUAAGCGAACCGCCUGGGAAGUACGUCUGCAAGGAUGAAACUUAAAGGGAUUGGCGGGGGAGCACUACAACCGGAGGAGCCUGCGGUUUAAUUGGAUUCAACGCCGGG
rnacentral:rRNA from 1 species